GACGAACGCUGGCGGCGUGCUUAACACAUGCAAGUCGAACGGAAAGGCCCUGCUUUUGUGGGGUGCUCGAGUGGCGAACGGGUGAGUAACACGUGAGUAACCUGCCCUUGACUUUGGGAUAACUUCAGGAAACUGGGGCUAAUACCGGAUAGGAGCUCCUGCUGCAUGGUGGGGGUUGGAAAGUUUCGGCGGUUGGGGAUGGACUCGCGGCUUAUCAGCUUGUUGGUGGGGUAGUGGCUUACCAAGGCUUUGACGGGUAGCCGGCCUGAGAGGGUGACCGGCCACAUUGGGACUGAGAUACGGCCCAGACUCCUACGGGAGGCAGCAGUGGGGAAUAUUGCACAAUGGGCGGAAGCCUGAUGCAGCAACGCCGCGUGCGGGAUGACGGCCUUCGGGUUGUAAACCGCUUUCGCCUGUGACGAAGCGUGAGUGACGGUAAUGGGUAAAGAAGCACCGGCUAACUACGUGCCAGCAGCCGCGGUGAUACGUAGGGUGCGAGCGUUGUCCGGAUUUAUUGGGCGUAAAGGGCUCGUAGGUGGUUGAUCGCGUCGGAAGUGUAAUCUCGGGGCUUAACCCUGAGCGUGCUUUCGAUACGGGUUGACUUGAGGAAGGUAGGGGAGAAUGGAAUUCCUGGUGGAGCGGUGGAAUGCGCAGAUAUCAGGAGGAACACCAGUGGCGAAGGCGGUUCUCUGGGCCUUUCCUGACGCUGAGGAGCGAAAGCGUGGGGAGCGAACAGGCUUAGAUACCCUGGUAGUCCACGCUGUAAACGGUGGGUACUAGGUGUGGGGUCCAUUCCACGGGUUCCGUGCCGUAGCUAACGCUUUAAGUACCCCGCCUGGGGAGUACGGCCGCAAGGCUAAAACUCAAAGGAAUUGACGGGGCCCCGCACAAGCGGCGGAGCAUGCGGAUUAAUUCGAUGCAACGCGUAGAACCUUACCUGGGUUUGACAUGGAUCGGGAGUGCUCAGAGAUGGGUGUGCCUCUUUUGGGGUCGGUUCACAGGUGGUGCAUGGCUGUCGUCAGCUCGUGUCGUGAGAUGUUGGGUUAAGUCCCGCAACGAGCGCAACCCUUGUUCACUGUUGCCAGCACGUUAUGGUGGGGACUCAGUGGAGACCGCCGGGGUCAACUCGGAGGAAGGUGGGGAUGACGUCAAGUCAUCAUGCCCCUUAUGUCCAGGGCUUCACGCAUGCUACAAUGGCUGGUACAGAGAGUGGCGAGCCUGUGAGGGUGAGCGAAUCUCGGAAAGCCGGUCUCAGUUCGGAUUGGGGUCUGCAACUCGACCUCAUGAAGUCGGAGUCGCUAGUAAUCGCAGAUCAGCAACGCUGCGGUGAAAACGUUCCCGGG
rnacentral:rRNA from 1 species